UACGUAGGGUGCGAGCGUUACUCGGAAUUACUGGGCGUAAAGCGUGCGCAGGCGGUUCGUCGUGUCCGAUGUGAAAGCCCCGGGCUCAACCUGGGAAUGGCAUUGGAAACUGGCAGACUCGAGUGUGGCAGAGGGGGGUGGAAUUCCGCGUGUAGCAGUGAAAUGCGUAGAGAUGCGGAGGAACACCGAUGGCGAAGGCAGCCCCCUGGGCUAACACUGACGCUCAGGCACGAAAGCGUGGGGAGCAAACAGG
rnacentral:rRNA from 1 species